ACGGAAGGCAGCAGUGGGGAAUAUUGCACAAUGGGCGAAAGCCUGAUGCAGCGACGCCGCGUGAGUGAAGAAGUAUUUCGGUAUGUAAAGCUCUAUCAGCAGGGAAGAAAAAUGACGGUACCUGACUAAGAAGCACCGGCUAAAUACGUGCCAGCAGCCGCGGUAAUACGUAUGGUGCAAGCGUUAUCCGGAUUUACUGGGUGUAAAGGGAGCGCAGGCGGUACGGCAAGUCUGAUGUGAAAGCCCGGGGCUCAACCCCGGUACUGCAUUGGAAACUGUCGAACUAGAGUGUCGGAGGGGUAAGCGGAAUUCCUAGUGUAGCGGUGAAAUGCGUAGAUAUUAGGAGGAACACCAGUGGCGAAGGCGGCUUAUUGGACGAUAACUGACGCUGAGGCUCGAAAGCGUGGGGAGCAAACAGGAUUAGAUACCCUGGUA
rnacentral:rRNA from 1 species